rnacentral:rRNA from 1 species
GCUACACAUGCAGUCGAACGAUGAAGCUGGAGCUUGCUCUGGUGGAUUAGUGGCGAACGGGUGAGUAACACGUGAGUAACCUGCCCUUGACUCUGGAAUAAGCGUUGGAAACGACGUCUAAUACCGGAUACGAGCUUCCGCCGCAUGGUGAGGAGCUGGAAAGAAUUUCGGUCAAGGAUGGACUCGCGGCCUAUCAGGUAGUUGGUGAGGUAAUGGCUCACCAAGCCUACGACGGGUAGCCGGCCUGAGAGGGUGACCGGCCACACUGGAACUGAGACACGGUCCAGACUCCUACGGGAGGCAGCAGUGGGGAAUAUUGCACAAUGGGCGCAAGCCUGAUGCAGCAACGCCGCGUGAGGGACGACGGCCUUCGGGUUGUAAACCUCUUUUAGUAGGGAAGAAGCGAAAGUGACGGUACCUGCAGAAAAAGCACCGGCUAACUACGUGCCAGCAGCCGCGGUAAUACGUAGGGUGCAAGCGUUAUCCGGAAUUAUUGGGCGUAAAGAGCUCGUAGGCGGUUUGUCGCGUCUGCUGUGAAAACUGGGGCUCAACCCCCAGCCUGCAGUGGUACGGGCAGACUAGAGUGCGGUAGG